rnacentral:rRNA from 1 species
CGUUACUAACGACGAUAUGCUUUGGGGAGCUGUAAGUAAGCUUUGAUCCAGAGAUUUCCGAAUGGGGAAACCCAGCACGAGUUAUGUCGUGUUAUCGAUAUGUGAAUACAUAGCAUAUCUGAAGGCAGACGCGGAGAACUGAAACAUCUUAGUACCCGCAGGAAGAGAAAGAAAAAUCGAUUCCCUGAGUAGCGGCGAGCGAAACGGGAAGAGCCCAAACCAACGAGCUUGCUUGUUGGGGUUGUAGGACACUCUAUACGGAGUUACAAAAGAACAGACUAGACGAAUCAUCUGGAAAGAUGAAUCAAAGAAGGUAAUAAUCCUGUAGUCGAAAGUUUGUUCACUCUUGAGUGGAUCCUGAGUACGACGGAACACGAGAAAUUCCGUCGGAAUCUGGGAGGACCAUCUCCUAAGGCUAAAUACUCUCUAGUGACCGAUAGUGAACCAGUACCGU